CGGCUCCUUGGCCAGGGAAGGAGGCGGGAUCUGCUUGCCAGCGGGCGUCUCCGCUUAGCGCUCUCUCCAGAAACCGCUGGGCAGUCUCCUGGGUGAGCGCCAGACGCCUGGGGUCCGUUUGCCGCCUGCUGAGACUAGACAAGGACCCCGGGAGGGCGACGUUGGGGGAGAGGGCUACGGAUGGAGGUCCCGCCGCGCUUGGGCCGGGUCCGGAGCCACCAGGACGCACAGCGGGCACAGAGCUCAACACUUUAUUUGCUCCCUGUCAUUCAAUGCUAAUAAUACCAAUAUUCAGUGAAAAAUACUGGAGCUUAAAGGUCAGAUCACUUGUCCAGAGUCACAGAACAGAAGCCCAAGUAAUCUGGUAUAACAGCCAGGCUUUUUUUCUACUACAACAUUCUUCAUCCUGUAUGACAUUUUGAAAUCUGGAAUUAGAAGAGUGGAGUUCAUGUGUCGCCUGAAAUGAUCCUCAUGCCAUAAAGGUGACUGAAGCUCAAAAAUAAAGGACCUAAGUGGUUUAAAAAAUGUCAUAUGGCAUGUCAGAGCAUCUGUCCUGGUCAGCUGGUAGUGGUUGCCUGGAGGAUUGUGUUGGGAUAGGACUAUGAAGUCCAAUCUGAGUCUCAUGGGAUGAAAGUCAUGUUGUGAUUGAUUGAAGAUGUCUGCUUAGUAUGCUACAAUGGAACCAUACCAAGGGAGUAUUUAAUGUUUGCAAAUUCACAUUUUUGUGCUCUGCUAAGGAACAGAUUGGUGGAUAGGAAGGAUCUGAGAAACAGAAAUCAAGAUUGUGUGAAUGGCAGCUUGGAAAUGAAAAAGAGAACAAAUGAAUGAGCAAUUAAAAUAUUGCAGACUCUUCCGAUUGCCAUUUCAUGCAAUGAAUACAUGCCUCUAAGUUUCCCUCAUUCUCAGUCAGGUGGUUGAGUUAUCCAAGCCUUCAUAACCAGAGGGUCUGAGCACUUGUUGGACUGUGCUUACUGCAGCUUCUCAUUUACAAUUACCACUGCACCUGAGAGUACCAAGAGAUUCCUGAGCCAGAGAUUACGAUUUCCAACUUCCAGCUCCUCAAGAUGGAGAAACAGAGGGAAGAAGAGACUUGGAAUCACUCUGUCCUGGCUGUGGGUCUAUGAAAAAGAAUGUGGCCUACUGCUAAAUACAUUGAUUUUGAAGCUAGAUAGCUCUGGUUUUGGGGAGCAAGUGAUUUGAUCUCUCAGAGACUCAGCUACUUCAUCAGUAAACAGAGAUUACCAUAUCCACCAGUAAUGGCUAUAGGAGCAGUAAUAGGGAUGAUAUAGGUGAAAGCACUGAUCACUGAAUGAUUCCAAAGACAGGUGCAGAGAGGUUCAGGCAUCAGACAGGCUACCUGGAUCCAAAUCCCAGCUCCAUCAUUUACUACUUUCAUGGCCUUUACAAACCACUAAACUUCUCUCUGAGCUUCAAUUUUCCCAUCUGUAACAUGGGAACUAAUAAAAUGAAACCUUCCUAAUAAAGUUGCCAGGAAGAUUCAUUGAGACAUUGAAUGUAAAGUAUUUAACUCAAUAUAGAGCACAGGGGAGCACCAAAUAAAAUUCAGGUGUUACAUUUUUAAGCACGUGUUCACCAAGGCUCCCAAUUCAGGUGGUGAGGAUUCUAUGAUGAUCAAUUCCUCCUAAGGUGGGCUGGAUAGCAAGUUUUGGAAGCACUGAACACCCACACGGAGCUGGCUCCUCUCAGGCGGGGAGGCAUCUUCACUAAGGAGAGGUGCAGUCUGUGUCCCCGUCCUUGACUCUGAGAAUCCCUGUGAUCAACAGAAUGCAGAAAAGUGACACUGCAUGGCUUCUGAGGCUAGGUCCAGAAAAGGUGAUGCAGCUUCCCCCUUUGCGCUGAAAUGCAGUGCUUGGACCUCAGAGCUAUUGACUAAGAAGUCCAUGCACCCUGAGCUUCUCAUGCUGGGGAAGCCACGUGUAGGCAUUCAGUUCCCAGCCCAGCUGAGCUCCAUCCUGGCUGCAACAAUUGUUCUCAUGAGGAAGCCAUCUUGGACACUCAGCUCCAUGGAGCCUCCACGAGUCGCCAGCCCCAACUGACAUCUGUCUCACUGCAACCACAGAAGAGCCUCCAACCAAGAACUGCACAGCUGAACCCUUUCUAAAUUCUUGAUCUCCAAAAAGCCAUGCACAAAAUAAAAUGGUUGUUUUGAGCCACUAAACUCUGGAACCUCGAGUAGGGGAGAAGUUCCUUUGGGUAGGUGUCAUUUUCCUAGGCUACCAUUCAUUUUCUCUUAUUUUGGUGAUAGCAGUCUGAUUUAUGUGUGUGGGUGGGUCGGGGGUAACCCUGAUCUUAAGUCAUGUAGUUCAGGUGCCUCCUGGAUGUGCCUGCCUAACCAUCAUAUCCCCACUACGGUACGGUGUUUGUAAAGAGUUGAGCAAAUAAUCCAGGACAGACCACUGAGAUUCUGCCUUGUGACUUUUGUUAAAAUUAGUGAGAAAAAGUCACUCUCGGGGCAGGCUGGAGUAAAGAGGGAUUGCUAAAUAGAUGCUAGGUAGGCCUGAAACUGCUGGGGGCCAAUUUAUUAUGAAGCAGGAAGAACCUAAUAAGGAAUAAAGUUACUCUGGAGGAAAGCCAAGCAAAGGAGGGUGAGAGACAGCUUCCUGAUGAGACUAAGCUUUGGACCCAGUUUUGCCUGGAACUUCGGCAGGCUGUUUUAGUUUCGUAAGUUAAUACGUACUCCUUUUUGAUUAAGCUAUUUCAGAGGUGUCACUUGCAUCUGAAAGAUUCCUAAUACAGACAGGUAAGAUCAGGUCAUGGAGGGCUUUGUGCCCUGUGAUGGUAAAGUUUUACUUUAUUCUGUAAAGAAUGAGAACUAUAUUUUAAUCAGGAGCAGGAUGAUGAGAUGUACACUUUAGCAAGACACCUGAAUGCACUGAGAAGGGAUAUUUUGGUGUUAGGAACAGGGAAAUGGACUAGGAGUAUAUAGUGUUAGUUUAGGACAUUAUGAUGCCAACUAAUAUAGCUGGUGGGAUUGGAUAUGCAAUUUGAGAAAUAUUUAAAUCAUGGAAUCAACACAAUUCAGACAGGUUGGGUGGUGUUGGGAUAAGGAAGAGAGAAGAAGCAAGGAUGACUUUUAGAUGGAUGGCUUAUAUACAAGCUGGACUAUGUAUCACUAAAGAGAAUAUUAGCUCCAGUUUAUGUCUGAUGACUCAGAAGUUAAACAACCUGCCCAAGGUUGUGUACCUAGUAAGAGCAGAACCAAUCAGGUCUUUAGGCUCCAAGACUUUCAUUCUUUGAAUUGUAUCAGGCCACUCACUGUGUUGAGGCCGCCAUGUGCACUGCAUUCCCAAGAAAUCAUAGCACAUGGGGCUGCUUGUUGUUCAGCACAUCAGGAGGAAGGCAAAAUUAUUAAUGCUUUCUUUUGGUCUCCUUGCUGUGUCUGACUUGCUACCAAACAAAACCUCUGCAGCAGGGCAUUUGUACUAUUCAGGUUUUCUUGGCUGACUUAUCAGCAUUUGUGAAAAGUACAGACGAUUUUGUUCCAGCCUUUCUGCAUUCUGACUUCAGAAGCUGAUUACAGAUGCAGAAACAUGAAGGGAGGUGAAAUCUAUUUCCCAAGAUGGACUAUGGAUUGGUUCUAAAGAUCAAAAGGGUGUGGCUUUUCAAUACAAACAACAAAGUCUGGGAGUUUUUGCACAGUGGAAGAGAAAGGCAAGUAGUAAGGGUGGCAAAGUGCUCAUUAGGAAGAAAAGUUAACAGGAAAACUUGGUUUAAAUCAAGGCAAGUAUGAAGAGAAGGUUAUCAACUUUAUGAAAAAGAGGACCAGAGAAGGCGAAGUGGCAAGCUGAGUGGCGAAUGCUGCUUAUCAUAUAUCCAGUUAAAAUUUCUUGGUCUCAUUCUUCACCAUUGUUAAAAUACUUUAACAUAUUUUAUAUACACUUAAAUAUCUGCUCCUUUCUAGUAAUAUAUUUUAUGUCUUUUACCAUCUUUGAGCCACAAUGAUCUCAACUGUGAAAUGGGAGCAGUAACAAAUUGCACCAUAAGAUUGUUGUGUUAAAUAAUGGCAUGAAUGUGCUUAGCCUGUUGCUUGUCACAUGGAAUCUGCACAGUUAAUGCUCAUAGCCUGUAACUCUUCCCAUCCUCUUCAGCAAGCUUUUAUUUAAUGACGCAGUUACGAAUGAGAAACUCCUGCAAGAAUGAUCAGUGUGCAUUGGAUAGAUGUUAAUUAGGUAGGACAGCCAGCAUUAUGUUCAUUUGAAGGGGAAAAAAACUGAGGUUUUCAGAGGUUAAGUAGCUUGCUGCAAAGUGCUUAGCUAUCAACAAAUAGGAGGUGGUUUUCUCCAGAGGGCCCCAGGUGAGAUGCACAGGUGUUACCCAGUGCAGACUUUUGGUCACCUUCACUUAACAUGGUGAUUGUUAUCAGAUGAGAAAGAAGACACCCUGGAAUUGAGAAAGUGCCAUACAAGAUGAGGCCAUUGCAAAGAGGAAAAAAGAGGCCCUGUGUGAGGCUAGGAAGACAGCACAACAAUGAGCCCAUGGCUUGCCAGGAAAGGAUCAGAAAUGGGAGGAGUGUUGUAGGCUAGUGGGACAUUCUCAAGCUUCAGAUCAGGUGAUUCUGUGCCCAAAUUAUCACUCCUCCAUGUAUUAUCUGUGUGACUUUGAACAAGGUUGUGUAACCUUUCUAAGCCUGUUUCUUCUUUUUUUUUGAUUUUUUUUUUUUGAGAUGAAGUCUCACUCUGUUGCCCAGGCUAGAGUGCAAUGGUGCGUAAUCUCGGCUCACUGCAACCUCUGCCUCCCAGGUUCAAGCAAUUCUCCUGCCUCAGCCUCCCUAGUAGCUGGGAUUACAGGCGAGCACCACCAUGCUCGACUAACUUUUGUAUUUUUAGUAGAGAUGGGUUUCACCAUGUUGGCCAGGGUGGUCUGGAACUCCUGACCUUGUGAUCCACCCGCCUCAACCUCCCAAAUUGCUGGGAUGGAUUACAGGCAUGAGUGGCCGUACCCAGCCUUGUUUCUUCAGUUCUAAAAUGGAUAUAAUAAUGUCUUAUUUAAUUAUCACUGUUAGUAUACAUUGACAUGUCUUGUAAAGUACCCAUCCAGUCCAAUUCCUUAGGAAAUGCUUAAUAAGUAAUAAUAAUUAUGAGCCUAAUUAUUGUUUUUAUUUUGGAGCAAGCCUUAGCUGAACAUUUUCCCUGUGGAAAAAGAUUGUUUGAAUGGGCAUUAACCAAUCUGGAGGGAUUUAUAACAUUUCAAAAAGACUGUUAUAAAACUAGGGAUAGUUUGCCAGAACUGAAAAUCAAUGCAUUUAAUGUUCAGCUGUUUUGAAUGAGGAGGUAGUGCAGGUAACAGACUCUUGGCAGCCCAUCCCCAUUCCUGUUUCAGUCCUGAACCCAGGCAUGGGCUUAAUGUGAGAGAUAGAAAUAGGGCAAUCGAUGACUGAGAUUCAGAAAUGGGGCAGAGCCGGAAAUGUCUGUUGUAAAUUAAUUAAUUUUAAAAAGUCAAUUAGUGAAGAUGUGUUUUUACAUUUUGAAGCCACUACUUCCCGACUUGUCUGGAAAGCCUGAGAUUAAGAAUCACACUUUGGAGGUAAGGGAAUACACUAGUCUGUUCUUGCCCUGCUAUAAAGAACUACCUGAGACUGGGUGAUUUAUAAAGAACAGAGGUUUAAUUGGCUCCUGGUUCCACAGGCUCUCUAGGAAGCGUGGUUGAGGAGGCUUCAGGAAACUUGCAAUCAUGCAGGCACACAUUGCAUGGCUAGAACAGGAGGAAGAGAGUGAAGGGGGAGGUGCUAUACACUUUCAAACAACCAGACCUCGUGAGAACUCACUAUUAUGAUAACAGCAAGGGAGGAAUUCACCCCCAAGAUCCAAUCACCUCCCACCAGGCCCCUCUUCCAACUUUGGGGAUUACAAUUUGACAUGAGACUUGAGUAGGGUCACAAAUCCAAACCAUAUCAUGGGACAAGUGAUUGAAGACUCAUCAUUCUGUUCUGAAUGAAUUUUAUGACCAACUUGCUGUGUAGAGGGAGACAUUUGCCAAAUUUCAUUCAUAAUGGGUUCUGCAUACAGAACAGCUCGGAUUCCAGUUAGCCAUUAUUAUUGUAUGAACUUGCAUGAGUCACUUAAAUAAUUUGUGACCCAAUGUACUCAUCUGUAAAAUGGAGAUGCUAAUGGUAACUUGUUUGUAGCCUUUUGUGAUGAUUAAAUAAGAUUACUUUGUAAAGUGCGUAGACUGGUGUUUGGCAUUGAAUAUAUGCUCACGAAACAUUAGUCACUUUUAAAAGUUACCAUCUCAGAAAGAGAACUGAGAUUUAGCUUAAGCCUUGUAAAACUCCCCGUUGAUAGUUGUGCUCAUCUGCUUUCUGCUUCCCUGAAAGACUUUUAAAACAAAAAGGUGUGAAUUGUGAAGACAUCUUGUUUUUAAGUCAGCAACCAGGUGGGGGGAAGCUGCUAUUAGCACACAGACUUUAGAAGCUAAGACCUCAUAGCAUGAGGAGUGG
rnacentral:lncRNA from 1 species